UGGGCAGCUUUCCAUGCAGUCGACGGCAGCGCGAGAGAGCUUGCUCUCUUGGCGGCGAGUGGCGGACGGGUGAGUAAUAUAUCGGAACGUGCCCAGUAGCGGGGGAUAACUACUCGAAAGAGUGGCUAAUACCGCAUACGCCCUACGGGGGAAAGGGGGGGAUCGCAAGACCUCUCACUAUUGGAGCGGCCGAUAUCGGAUUAGCUAGUUGGUGGGGUAAAGGCUCACCAAGGCAACGAUCCGUAGCUGGUUUGAGAGGACGACCAGCCACACUGGGACUGAGACACGGCCCAAACUCCUACGGGAGGCAGCAGUGGGGAAUUUUGGACAAUGGGGGAAACCCUGAUCCAGCCAUCCCGCGUGUAUGAUGAAGGCCUUCGGGUUGUAAAGUACUUUUGGCAGAGAAGAAAAGGUAUCCCCUAAUACGGGAUACUGCUGACGGUAUCUGCAGAAUAAGCACCGGCUAACUACGUGCCAGCAGCCGCGGUAAUACGUAGGGUGCAAGCGUUAAUCGGAAUUACUGGGCGUAAAGCGUGUGUAGGCGGUUCGGAAAGAAAGAUGUGAAAUCCCAGGGCUCAACCUUGGAACUGCAUUUUUAACUGCCGAGCUAGAGUAUGUCGGAGGGGGGUAGAAUUCCACGUGUAGCAGUGAAAUGCGUAGAGGUGUGGAGGAAUACCGAUGGCGAAUGCAGCCCCGUGGGAUAAUGCUGACGCUCACACACGAAAGCGUGGGGAGCAAACAUGAUUAGAUACCCUGGUACUCCACGCGCUAAACGAUGUCAACUAUCUGUUGGGGGCCGUUAGGCCUUAUUAGCGCAGCUAACGCAUGAAGUUGACCGCCUGGCGAGUACUGUCUCAAGAUUAAUAACUCAGAAGAUUGACGGUGACCGCACGAUCUGUGAUGAUGUGUAUAAUUCGAUGCACGCGAUACCUACUACCCUGACUGUCUGAGACGAGAAUUAGCCGUGCCUGCCGCAGAUCUGAAGAAGGUGCUGCAGGACAGUCGUCGCUCGAUUCGGAGAGUAGAGUAUACUCUCGACGCAGCAUUCAUACUCAGCCUUACACUCAUGAAUGCCGUCAAUGAUCCUCUACCAGUGAGGAUGAAUCA
rnacentral:rRNA from 1 species